rnacentral:ribozyme from 14 species
AAAAUCAGAAACAGAUGUAUGUUGUAGUUCAUCAAGGUUUUUUUUUCUCAGUGUAUUUUUUAUUAUUAUCAUUAUUUAUUAUUUAUUCAAAAAAAAAGUAAGUA